rnacentral:rRNA from 1 species
CCGGCGCACGGGUGAGUAACGCGUAUGCAACUUACCUGUCAGAGGGGAGUAACCCGGCGAAAGUCGGACUAAUACCGCAUGAAGCAGGGGCCCCGCAUGGGGAUAUUUGCUAAAGAUUCAUCGCUGAUAGAUAGGCAUGCGUUCCAUUAGGCAGUUGGCGGGGUAACGGCCCACCUAGUCUUCGAUGGAUAGGGGUUCUGAGAGGAAGGUCCCCCACAUUGGAACUGAGACACGGUCCAA